rnacentral:rRNA from 1 species
UACAGAGGGUGCGGGCGUUAAUCGGAAUUACUGGGCGUAAAGCGCACGUAGUCGGCUUUGCAAGUCGGGUGUGAAAUCCCCGGGCUCAACCUGGGAACUGCAUCCGAGACUGCAUUGCUAGAGUAUGGGAGAGGGAAGCGGAAUUUCUGGUGUAGCAGUGAAAUGCGUAGAUAUCAGAAGGAACAUCAGUGGCGAAGGCGGCUUCCUGGACCAAUACUGACGAUCCGGUGCGAAAGCGUGGGGAGCAAACAGG